AAAUUAUACCAAAUCCAUUGGUUAAUGAUUCUGAAUAACUCAACUAAGGCUAGAAAAUUCUAUAUUUUGUAUAUUUUCAUUUU
rnacentral:tRNA from 1 species